rnacentral:rRNA from 1 species
UACGUAGGGUGCAAGCGUUAAUCGGAAUUACUGGGCGUAAAGCGUGCGCAGGCGGUUAUGCAAGACAGAUGUGAAAUCCCCGGGCUUAACCUGGGAACUGCAUUUGUGACUGGCGGGCUAGAGUAUGGCAGAGGGGGGUAGAAUUCCACGUGUAGCAGUGAAAUGCGUAGAGAUGUGGAGGAAUACCGAUGGCGAAGGCAGCCCCCUGGGCCAAUACUGACGCUCAUGCACGAAAGCGUGGGGAGCAAACAGG